GCUCAAGCAAGUCACAUGAUCAUGGGACAGGGGGCCCUUCCCUUUUAGGUAGCUGAAGCAGAGAGGAAAGGCAGCAUACAUCAGUGUUUUCUUCUAGGCACUUAUAAGAAAGUUCAAAGAUUUUAAGACUUUCACUAUUUCUUCUACCACUAUCUACUAUGAACUUCAAAGAGGAACCAGGAGUACAGGAGGAACAUGAAAGUGGACAAGGAGCAUGACCACUGAAGCACAGCACCACGGGGAGGGGUUUAGGCCUCCAGAUGACUGCAGGGCAGGCCUGGAUAAUAUAAAGCCUCCCACAAGGAGGUGGUGAAGCAGAGUGUUUCCUGACUCCUCCAAGAACAGGGAGACUCCCUUUCUUGGUCUGCUAAGUAACGGGUGCCUUCCCAGGCACUGGCAUUACUGCUUGGCCAAGGAGCCCUCAACCGGCCCUUAUGUGGGCAUGACAGAGGGCUCACCUCUUGCUUUCUAGGUCACUUCUCACAAUGUCCCUUCAGUACAUGAUCCUACACCCAUCAAUUAUUCCUAGGUUAUAUUAGUAAUGCAACAAAGACUAAUAUUAAAAGCUAAUGAUUAAUAAUGUUUAUACAUUAUUGAUUGAUAAUUGUCCAUGAUCAUCUCUAUAUCUAAUUUGUAUUGUAAGUAUUCUUUAUUCUAACUAUUUUCUUUAUUAUACUGCUACAGUUUGUGCCUUCAGUCUCCUGUCUUGGCACCUGGGUAAUCCUUCGUCCACAGCUGCCCAAAUCUCCCCUCUUUUUAUUGACUAGGAUCAUCAUUGCCAUCAUUGCUUGUUGACUUUGGGCUUUUCAUCGGACUCCCUGAAGACAUCUGCAUCCUGUUCAGACAUCAAGGUGACUUUGUAUACGUCUGUCUUGGUAUUAGUGGGAAUGAUCUGAUAGGUUACAUUCCAUAUCCUAAUUCCAGUCAUGGCAGCAGCCAAUUUCCACAAUUCAGGAUGUCCUUCUUCCUCUGGUUGAGCAGGAAACCUGUCAUCGUUAGGGACUGGUAUAAAUGCACUACUAUUAGUAUAUAGGCAGCAUUUGCGAAGCUGUUGAAUGACCUCAUCAUUUAGUAUAGUUUGAUUUGUAAUUGCAGGCCAUUGUCCCAUUCCCAAUAACUGGUCAGCUGUAAUAUUAACAGGAGGAUUAGAGCCUUGAUUAAGCUGAACUCGAUCGUGGACAGCAUCAACCCACCAAGUCCUGAAUUAUAAAUAUUGGGAUUCAGAUAAUACUGAUUUUGCUAGAAUUCCCCAGUCAUAAGGCACCAAACGUUUAUCCUCUGCUAGAGCUUUUAAUGUGGAAUGCACAAAAGGGGAGAUGGUGCUGUAUUGUUUCACUGAUUCUUUGAAAUCUUUGAGGAAUUUAAAAGAAAAACUUUCCCGUGUAGCAGGGAGUAACUGGACCUGGCCUGGAUGAAAAGGAUCUGGUUGGACUACUGCCUGGACUGCAGGUAUACCUGGAGCUGGCUGCGCUACAGCAGCAAGCAUUUAUGGUAUAGGUUGAGGAGCCUGAUUAUUUGCCUGAGGAGCCUGAUUUUCAGGCUGCGGACCUUGGGGAGCCGUGUGAUCAGCCACCUGCUGAGCAGGAUCAGCGGGCUGUGGCUGAUCCUGUGCCACAGCAACAGGAGCGGCAGGUAUAUGGGGAUGUAGAAUAAGAGGAAGUUGCUAGGCCUCAGGAUGCCCAUACUCCCUGGCUUGAGAAAUGGCUCUCAUAAGAGGAGUGUCAUUUUCAGGAAUGUAUGUAACCUGUUGCUUAUGAGCAGCCAUGGUGGUGGCAACAGCAGUGGUAACCGGACCAGAAGCCAAAAAGAGAUUCGAGUUUUGAAUAGAGGAAGAAUCAAGAACCUGUAAGCCAGGAUGAGGUGCGAUUACCUGCUGGGCAGGUCUUUUAGGGUUGAGAAAUCAAGGCUGCUGCAGUAACUGCAGGACAGGCUUCGAGGGAGCCUGAUGCACCAAAGGAGAAGCAGAAGUGAGAGAUGGAUAACCAGGCUGUGGAGGGAUAGGGUUGAGGGCCUCAUUGCCAGGCCAAACAGGCAGAAGGUUGAGAGCCCUACAGCAGGGCUGAACAGAGACACAGUUGAGAGCCUGUAGGGGCCAGCCCUACAGGGUCUGUGGGUUUUUCUCCCCGUGUGCGGAGACAAGAGAUCAUAGAAACAAAGACAAAAGACAAAGAGAUAAAAGAAAAGACAGCUGGGGCUGGGGGACCACUACCACCAAGACGUGGAGACCAGUAGUGGCCCCAAAUUCCAGGCUGCGCUGUUAUUUAUUGGAUACAAGACAAGGGGGCAGGGUAAGGAGUGUUAGCCAUCUCCAAUGAUAGGUAAGGUCACGUGGGUCAUGCAUCCACUGGAAAGGGAGCCUUUCCCUGUUUGGCAGCCGAGGCGGAGAGAGAGGAGAGACAGCUUACACCAUUAUUUCUGCAUUUCAGAGACUUUUAAUACUUUCAGUAAUUCUGCUAUUGCUAUCUAGAAGGCAGAGCCAGGUGUACAGGAUGGAACAUGAAAGCAGACCAGGAGCAUGACUACUGAAGCACAGCAUCACAGGGAGACGGUCAGGCCUCUGGAUAACUGCAGGCAGGCCUGACUUAUGUCAGGCCCUCCAUAAGAGAUGGUGGAGUAGAGUCUUCUCUAAACUCCCCUGGGGAAAGGGAGACUCCCUUUCCUGGUCUGCUCAGUAGCAGGUGCUUUUCCUUGGCACUGACGCUACCACUAGACCAUGGUCCGCUUGGUACGGGCAUCUUCCCAGACGCUGGCAUUACUGCUAGACCAAGGAGCCCUCUGGUGGCCCUGCCUGGGCAUAACAAAAGGCUCACACUCUUGUCUUCUUGUCACUUCUCACCAUGUCCCCUCAGCUCCUAUCUCUGCAUGGCCUGCCUUUUUCUAGGUUAUGAUUGUAGAGUGAGGAUUAUUAUAAUAUUUGAAUAAAGAGUAAUUACUACAAACUAAUGAUUAAUGGUAUUUAUAUAUAAUCAUAUCUAUGAGCUAUAUCAGUAUAACUCUUGUUAUUUUAUAUAUUUUAUUACACUGGAACAGCUCGUGCUCUCGGUCUCUUGCCUCGGCACCUGGGUGGCUUGCCACCCACAUCUCCCCGCUUUUUAUUAACUAGGAUCACCAUUGCCAUCAUUGCUUGUCGUUGACUUUGGACUUGUCUUCGGAUUCCUUGCGGGAUCUGCAGACUAAAAGUAGACAACAUAAGCAUACCAAUAUUAAUAAUGCCAGUGACAACAAUGAUCCUCUGAGGGGUUUGAUCCAUUUAAAGGGAUUAAGAUCAGAUAAUUCUUUAGCUAUUCCUUCAAAAAUGUCUGAGCCCAGAACAGUGGAUAAAUGAGCCUGUGAAGCCUCAAAAAUUUGUUCUUUAAGUUUUGAAAUAUCCAAGGUUAAGUUAUCAUCCCAGGUUUUUAAAUGUCUUGAGACCGAUUCCCAGCUAUGCUGAUCUUUAUUAUAAGCAUAAGGUGUUAUACAGUAAUCAGAAGUAUUCCAAUCACAUUGUAAUUGCAUACGGUGUUCCAAAUUCAUAACUGUAUCUCCCAGCCAUAUUACACUUUGGUGGAGAUAAUUAAUUUGAUUAGCUAACUUUUGAUCAAUUUGAGUCUGAGAAUUCCAAAGUCUGGAGGAGUUUUUUUGCCAUGCUUCAACAUAUUGAGUGGUUUGAACAGAACUGUGGAUCUCAACUCCAGCGGUUGCCACUGUUGCAGAAACCGCAAUUAGACCUGCAAUGACUACAAUAACAGUAAAAAUAAAUCACUUUGUUCUUUUCAGGAUACCUUUAAGAACUUCAUUGACUAUGUGUAUAGAGGGGGAAGACUCCCAUGGAUGAUGUAAAGAAACUGGUAUCCAUACCCCCUCCCUAGCCCUUACGAAUAGAAUACUUGUUGUGGGAUUAAAAGUAGCAUCAAUGCACAUGAACAGCUUACAAUUAUCACAUUCUAUAUUUUGUGUAUUGGGAAUGAUAAUUAUAUUUCCAACCAACAGCAUGUAAGGGGGUUUGACACAGCUCCUGAUACGUAUCACCUGUUCAGACAUCAAGGUGAUGUUGAAUGUGGGUGUUUUGAUAUUAGUGGGAGAGAGUUGAUAGGUAGCACUCCAUAUCCUUAUUCCUGUCAUAGCUGCAGCUAAUUUCCAUAAUUCAGGAUGUUCUGGGGUAACAAUGGGAUGAAUCAUUUUUGGUCUAGAAGGAACAAUGCCUGUGUUCAUCCAUUUGAAUGGGUAAGGAGACACCCAUUCUCUCAACCUGUAGGACUGCCAUCCGUCCUCUAAUAUUGUAACAAAUAAUUGAACUCUGAGCAUGUCGUAUUCUGGCUGGAGCAAUCCCGCCAAUAAUGGCAUUACAAUUAUUCCAUAAAAUUGAAUUCACCAGAAAAGGUCCCUUUGUAGAUUCCUUUGGGCAGUCUGGCAGUCCUUUUGUUUUAUUGCUGUUAGUAGUGACCAGAACCCACCAUUCCUCUUGUGGAUUAAGUUUAACAGAAGUUGAAAAGAAUUGCUACUGAACACAUUAUGUACUUGAUAAGAAUCAUUUGUAAAGGACGGUACUGUCCACAUCCAAUUCUGGUAAGAAUAAACUAAACAGCCAGGCGACAUCCCAGUGCAUAGUGGUGGAUAUUUAUAGCCAAUUGACAGAUUAAAGUGCAUACCUUCUUAUUCUGGUUGAGCUGGAAACCUAUCAUCAUUAGGGACCGGCAUGAAUGCACUAUUAUUAGUGUAAACUUCUACUGAGGAGUCCAUCCAGGAGACAGACUGAAUUAAAGGGGGAAAAGAACACAUGCCCAGUAGGUAUAAUUUUGAGUUGCCCAAACUGGUGGUAUACUCACCACUGCACUGACUACCAUAAAGGCAGCCAGAAUUAUAUUACCUGUCGUUUUGGGGAUUCAUUUUUCUCUUAAUGAUUUUUCUGUUGAUGGGAUAAGACCUUUAUUUGACCCCAAGUUGGUGGAGUUAAAUGAGUGGUGUUGUAGGUCACACGGCGAGAUUUUGUCUCAAUGUCGAGGUCAUGAAGUUUAUGUGUCAGGCGGUGAUACUUGCUCUUUGGUUUCAGAGGGGUCUUUGCCUUUUGUUUCUGGGAGUGUUUCUUCUUGGGAGUUAUGGUGCAAUUUCAGUUGUCGGGAGGGAACCCACACAGGUUGUUGUCCUUUUCCUUGAGGUAGGACUUUCCAAUGGUAAUGUCCUUUAACAGGGCGAAUAGCCACCUGACAAUCUGGAUUUGCUUGUUCAUAAGCCAUGAGUUCUACAACAAGUCAAUGGCCGUGGCUCAGGGAUAGCUUUUUCUGCUGCGUCUUGGAGAUGGGCAAUAAAGUCUGGGUAGGGUUCAUGUUGUCCCUGUCUGACUGCCGCAAACGAUGGGCAUACUUUGCCAUCAUCUUGAAUCUUUUCCCAAGCAUCUAAGCAACAUUUCCACAGUUGUUCAAUAACCACAUCAUUUACUAUAGUUUGGUUUCUAAUUGUAGCCCACUGACCCAUUCCCAGUAACUGGUCAGCUGUAACGUUAACAGGAGGAUUGGAGCCCUGAUUAAGAUGAAUGUGUUCCUGGACAGCAUCAACCCACCAAGUCCUGAAUUGUAAAUAUUGGGAUUUAGAUAAGACUGACUUUCAGUCAAGUGAGCAUUUUUUAAGAACACGUUGUACUGAGAACCACUUAAGCAUUGAAUGCGGAGAAAGCAGUGCUACCUC
rnacentral:lncRNA from 10 species